GUUUGAUCCUGGCUCAGGACGAACGCUGGCGGCGUGCUUAACACAUGCAAGUCGAGCGGAAAGGCCCUUCGGGGUACUCGAGCGGCGAACGGGUGAGUAACACGUGAGCAACCUGCCCCUGGCUCUGGGAUAGCCUUCGGAAACGGGGAUUAAUACCGGAUAUUCACUGCUUCCUGCAUGGGGGGUGGUGGAAAGUUUUUCGGCUGGGGUGGGGCUCGCGGCCUAUCAGCUUGUUGGGGGGGUGACGGCCCACCAAGGCGACGACGGGUAGCCGGCCUGAGAGGGCGACCGGCCACACUGGGACUGAGACACGGCCCAGACUCCUACGGGAGGCAGCAGUGGGGAAUAUUGCGCAAUGGGCGGAAGCCUGACGCAGCGACGCCGCGUGCGGGAUGAAGGCCUUCGGGUUGUAAACCGCUUUCACCAGGGACGAAGCGAGAGUGACGGUACCUGGGGAAGAAGCGCCGGCUAACUACGUGCCAGCAGCCGCGGUAAUACGUAGGGCGCGAGCGUUGUCCGGAAUUAUUGGGCGUAAAGAGCUCGUAGGCGGCUGGUUGCGUCUGCUGUGAAAUCCCGGGGCUUAACCCCGGGCGUGCAGUGGAUACGGGCCGGCUGGAGGCAGGCAGGGGAGAAUGGAAUUCCCGGUGUAGCGGUGAAAUGCGCAGAUAUCGGGAGGAACACCGGUGGCGAAGGCGGUUCUCUGGGCCUGUACUGACGCUGAGGAGCGAAAGCGUGGGGGAGCAACAGGAUUAGAUACCCUGGUAGUCCACGCCGU
rnacentral:rRNA from 1 species